UACGUAGGGUGCAAGCGUUGUCCGGAAUUAUUGGGCGUAAAGAGCUCGUAGGCGGUUUGUCGCGUCUGCUGUGAAAACUCGGGGCUUAACUCCGGGCCUGCAGUGGGUACGGGCAGACUAGAGUGCGGUAGGGGGAGACUGGAAUUCCUGGUGUAGCGGUGAAAUGCGCAGAUAUCAGGAGGAACACCGGUGGCGAAGGCGGGUCUCUGGGCCGUAACUGACGCUGAGGAGCGAAAGCGUGGGGAGC
rnacentral:rRNA from 1 species